GAGCGGCGGACGGGUGAGUGGCGCGUGGGUAACCUGCCUGAUACAGGGGGAUAACAGUUAGAAAUGACUGCUAAUACCGCAUAAGACCACAGAGCCGCAUGGCUCGGUGGGAAAAACUCCGGUGGUAUGAGAUGGACCCGCGUCUGAUUAGGUAGUUGGUGGGGUAACGGCCUACCAAGCCAACGAUCAGUAGCCGACCUGAGAGGGUGACCGGCCACAUUGGGACUGAGACACGGCCCAAACUCCUACGGGAGGCAGCAGUGGGGAAUAUUGCACAAUGGGGGAAACCCUGAUGCAGCGACGCCGCGUGAAGGAUGAAGUAUUUCGGUAUGUAAACUUCUAUCAGCAGGGAAGAAAAUGACGGUACCUGACUAAGAAGCCCCGGCUAACUACGUGCCAGCAGCCGCGGUAAUACGUAGGGGGCAAGCGUUAUCCGGAUUUACUGGGUGUAAAGGGAGCGUAGACGGCUGUGCAAGUCUGAAGUGAAAGGCAUGGGCUCAACCUGUGGACUGCUUUGGAAACUGUGCAGCUAGAGUGUCGGAGAGGUAAGUGGAAUUCCUAGUGUAGCGGUGAAAUGCGUAGAUAUUAGGAGGAACACCAGUGGCGAAGGCGGCUUACUGGACGAUGACUGACGUUGAGGCUCGAAAGCGUGGGGAGCGAACAGGAUUAGAUACCCU
rnacentral:rRNA from 1 species